ACUCUAAGUUGACUGCCGGUGACAAACCGGAGGAAGGUGGGGAUGACGUCAAAUCAUCAUGCCCCUUAUGAUUUGGGCUACACACGUGCUACAAUGGACAAUACAAAGGGCAGCGAAACCGCGAGGUCAAGCAAAUCCCAUAAAGUUGUUCUCAGUUCGGAUUGUAGUCUGCAACUCGACUAUAUGAAGCUGGAAUCGCUAGUAAUCGUAGAUCAGCAUGCUACGGUGAAUACGUUCCCGGGUCUUGUACACACCGCCCGUCACACCACGAGAGUUUGUAACACCCGAAGCCGGUGGAGUAACCAUUUGGAGCUAGCCGUCGAAGGUGGGACAAAUGAUUGGGGUGAAGUCGUAACAAGGUAGCCGUAUCGGAAGGUGCGGCUGGAUCACCUCCUUUCUAAGGA
rnacentral:rRNA from 1 species